AUGCAUCUAUUUGACAGACUUACAGCCGUUUAUCUGCUGCCAAGGUUUUCACUACAGAGCAAGGAAAAAAACGUGUCCUUGCACUUUCUGUCUAUCUGAUUGUGGCAGCCCAGAUUGAGUGGGGGAACACAGCA